rnacentral:rRNA from 1 species
UACAGGGGGUGCAAACGUUGCUCGGAAUUAUUGGGCGUAAAGCGCGCGUAGGCGGCUACCUAAGUCGGAUGUGAAAGCCCCUGGCUUAACCGGGGAAGUGCACCCGAAACUGAGUAGCUAGAGUGCAAAAGAGGGUCGCGGAAUUCCCAGUGUAGAGGUGAAAUUCGUAGAUAUUGAGAGGAACACCGGUGGCGAAGGCGGCGACCUGGGUUGACACUGACGCUGAGGCGCGAAAGCGUGGGGAGCAAACAGG